rnacentral:lncRNA from 1 species
CAUCGCGCGGGGCCCCCCGGGCCACAGCCCGACCCCAAGCCCCUCCCGGACCCAGAGCUAAUUUGGAGGUGGGACAUUCCCCGGGGCUGAGGUCAGGCUGGCCUGGGGACAGGUCUCCGUCACCGGGACCCAAGGGCGUGGCGUGGGUGGAGCCCGAGGUCGCGGCUGGCCCCGCCUCCUCUCCGCCCAGGCUGGCUCCGGGGACCUGGCCACGGGGGAGGGGGACGCAUUUCGGGUAGAGGGGACAGCGGUGGGAGCUGUCCCAGCCCCCAGCCCUGUACCCCAGCCUCUCCAGCCCGGUGUCCCCGCCUCUGCCCGCAGCCUCGCUAGCCCCCACCCUCCGGCCUCCCUCCCGGCCUCCGCAGCCCGGGCCUCUGAACCCGCCCCGUCUAAAUCGGGCCCCGGCGCUAAGCCGUCGCUGGCCUCCGGAAUGCGAGGUCGCCGGCGCCAGGUGAGCGGCCCCGCCCUGCUCCUGGCCGCAGCCUCGCGGCCGUUUUUAGCCCGCUAAGCCCGGGCCUUGGCUGCUCUGGGAUUCCUGGUGCCGGGCCUGGGGGGCAGCGUCCGCAGCUGUGCCCGGGGGCGGGGGCCGGCUCCAUUUCUGUUUCCGCCCAGCGGGCCGCAGGCUGCCCUCGCUGGGUCCUCCUGUAGGUGGCGGGGCACCCUGACCUGGUCAGCGACGGCCCUGAGCGAGCUCCACUCUUCCUCCCAAGUCCGCUUUGCGGACCAGCCUCUCUCCCUCCAGGUCACCAAGGGAGGUGCCACUUUACGCUGGAGAUAACGCAAUCCCGCUCCUACUACAAGGCAGCCCUGUGGCCCGCACCAGCCAGUAAGCCCCAGAGGGCCCCCACCCCCCAGCAAAUCAGGGGCUCUGUGCCCCAAGGACACCCCAAGUCCAUGCACAUCUGACCCACUCGACCAUCUCCCAGGGUCCAGCCUGCCCCCUCCUGGGCUCCCAACCCCCAGCUCCCAGGACCGCCCUCUCUCCCAGGUACAGUCCCGCCCAGCUGCACACUCCCAAUCCUCUCCUGGUGCUGAGAGGCAGAGACCCAGGCAGAACUUGGUCCACACAGUGGAGUAGUACGCAGCCAUGAAAAGGAGUGACGAUCUGACACCGGCCACAGGGUGGACAGACCCUGAGGACCUGGAGGUGCUCAGUGAGAGAAUCACACGCAAAGGUCCCCACAGGGUGUGAAUCUGUCCAUUCAGAAGGUUCACAACAGGAAACUCAAAGAGACAGGACAUGGGUCAGGGUCGCCAGGGGCCGGGCAGGAGAGGCGGGAGUGGGUGCUACCUAAGGUACCAGGUGGAGGGAACGUUCUGGGACUUGACAGAGGUGACAGUUGUGCCACAUGGUGAGUGUGCUAGACACCACCCUGCCACACACUUCAGAGCCUGAUUUAGGCCUCUUUGUUCCUUUAGGGACUGACUGCUCAGCAUCCCCACACGGUGGCCACACCUGUCAUUCUGCAGCUUGGGAGGCUGAGGCAGGAGGAUUGCAGUGGAGGCCAGCCUCAGCAAUUUGGCCAGACCCUCAGCAACUUAGCAAGAGCUUGUCUCAAAAUAAAAAGUAAAAAGGGGCCUGCGGACGGGGCCCAGUUAGAGCACCCUGGGGUCCAUCCCUGGCACCAACGCGGCCACCACGUCACCUGUUUCAUAGGUGACCCACACAGCUCCUUCCCCGCUGGUGUGUCCCAUCUAUGAAGCUCCCCACCCUCCCUGACCUCCCGAGGCGCCUCCUCCUUGCCUCUGAGGCUGUGGACACUCCCUGGGCAGGGCCGUCCACUCUGCCUCUGUCUCCCACUGGCAGGUCCUGGGGUGUUGGAAAGGUCUUGGACCCGGCCCAGUGGGGGCCACCUG